AGAGUUUGAUCAUGGCUCAGGAUGAACGCUGGCGGCGUGGAUAAGUCAUGCAAGUCACGGGGGCCCGCAAGGGUCACCGGCAGACGAGGUAGUAAUAAAUAGGUACGCACCCUGGAGUCGGGCACAGCUCGUCGAAAGACGGGGUAAUUCCCGAUAGUCUCGCGAGAGUAAAGGAGCAAUCCGCUCUGGGAACGGCCUAUUCGGUAUCAGCUAGUUGGUAGGGUAACGGCCUACCAAGGCUAUGACGCCUAGGGGAGCUGAGAGGCUGACCCCCACCGAGGGAACUGCGACACGGUCCCUACACCUACGGGUGGCUGCAGACGAGAAUAUUCGACAAUGGGCGAAAGCCUGAUCGAGCGACGCCGCGUGGUUGAUGAAGUCCUUCGGGACGUAAAAACCUUUUAUGAGCCACUAAGUCUAUUGAAGAGCUCAUGAAUAAGAGGUUGCUAAACUCGUGCCAGCAGCCGCGGUAAUAC
rnacentral:rRNA from 1 species